GAAAUGAGUGAGAUGUGACAAGACCUGUGUAUGCUCUCUGGGAAACAUAGCUGCUCUCAAACAUGCCCACCUUUAAACCAGGCUGUCAUCCUAAUACAGAAACCCAACGAAGAGGCCACACAUUAAAUGGUAACAGCAUUGCUCCCAGAGCACAUCACAGCCCACAAGUUAACACACUUUGAAAAUGGUACACGGUCGCUUGGAAAACAGGAACCAGAUGGGGUAAACCAGAUCUUC